GACGAACGCUGGCGGCGUGCUUAACACAUGCAAGUCGAACGGAAAGGCCCCUUUGGGGGUACUCGAGUGGCGAACGGGUGAGUAACACGUGAGUAACCUGCCCUUGACUUCGGGAUAACUUCAGGAAACUGGGGCUAAUACCGGAUAGGAAUCCUUGCUGCAUGGUGGGGGUUGGAAAGCUUCGGCGGUUUUGGAUGGACUCGCGGCUUAUCAGCUUGUUGGUGGGGUAGUGGCUUACCAAGGCUUUGACGGGUAGCCGGCCUGAGAGGGCGACCGGCCACAGUGGGACUGAGAUACGGCCCAGACUCCUACGGGAGGCAGCAGUGGAGAAUAUUGCACAAUGGGCGGAAGCCUGAUGCAGCAACGCCGCGUGCGGGAUGACGGCCUUAGGGUUGUAAACCGCUUUCAGCAGGGGCGAAGCUUGUGGUGACGGUACCUGCAGAAGAAGCACCGGCUAACUACGUG
rnacentral:rRNA from 1 species